rnacentral:rRNA from 1 species
CCUACGGGAGGCAGCAGUGGGGAAUGUUGCGCAAUGGGCGAAAGAGUGACGCAGCGACGCCGCGUGAAUGACGAAGGCCUUCGGGUCGUAAAGUUCUGUCGACAGGGAAGAAAAUGCCUAUAAGUAACUGUGUAUGUAUUGACGGUACCUGAAUAAGCAGCCCCGGCUAACUCCGUGCCAGCAGCCGCGGUAAUACGGAGGGGGCGAGCGUUGUUCGUAGUGACUGGGCGUAAAGCGCACGUAGGCGGUUUUGUAAGUCAUUAGUCAAAGACUACGGCUCAACUUUAGUAAGGCUUGCUAUACUCUAAUACUAGAGUAUCAGAGAGGAUUGUAGAAUUCCUGGUGUAGCGGUGAAAUGCGUAGAUAUCAGGAGGAAUACCGUUAGCGAAGGCGGCAAUCUGGCUGGAAACUGACGCUGAGGUGCGAAAGCGUGGGUAGCAAACAGGAUUAGAUACCCGAGUAGUC